rnacentral:rRNA from 1 species
GAUGAACGCUGGCGGCGUGCCUAACACAUGCAAGUCGAACGAUGAAACCGCCCUCGGGCGGACAUGAAGUGGCGAACGGGUGAGUAACACGUGACCAACCUGCCCCUUGCUCCGGGACAACCUUGGGAAACCGAGGCUAAUACCGGAUACUCCUCGCCCCCCCUCCUGGGGGGCCCGGGAAAGCCCAGACGGCAAGGGAUGGGGUCGCGGCCCAUUAGGUAGUAGGCGGGGUAACGGCCCACCUAGCCCGCGAUGGGUAGCCGGGUUGAGAGACCGACCGGCCACAUUGGGACUGAGAUACGGCCCAGACUCCUACGGGAGGCAGCAGUGGGGAAUUUUGCGCAAUGGGGGAAACCCUGACGCAGCAACGCCGCGUGCGGGACGACGGCCUUCGGGUUGUAAACCGCUUUCAGCAGGGAAGAAAUUCGACGGUAC